rnacentral:rRNA from 1 species
AAUGAACGUUGGCGGCAUGGAUUAGGCAUGCAAGUCGAGCGAGAACCGUAGCAAUACGGGGACAGCGGCGAAAGGGAGAGUAAUGUGUGGAUAUCUACCUCCAGGCCUGGGACAACUACGGGAAACUGUAGCUAAUACCAGAUAAUGUCUGCGGACCAAAGGUGUGAUUCCUCCGGGAGAUGAGUCCACAUCCUAUUAGCUAGUUGGUAGGGUAAUGGCCUACCAAGGCAAUGAUGGGUAGCAGGUGUGAGAGCACGACCUGCCUCAAUGGGACUGAGACACUGCCCAGACACCUACGGGUGGCUGCAGUCGAGAAUCUUCGGCAAUGGGCGCAAGCCUGACCGAGCGAUGCCGCGUGCGGGAUGAAGGCCUUCGGGUUGUAAACCGCUGUCAGAGGGGAUGAAAUACGUCGGGGGUUCUCCCCCGGGUUUGACAUAUCCUCAGAGGAAGGACGGGCUAAGUUCGUGCCAGCAGCCGCCGCCG